rnacentral:rRNA from 1 species
GAUGAACGCUGGCGGCGUGCCUAAUACAUGCAAGUCGAGCGAACAGACGAGGAGCUUGCUCCUCUGACGUUAGCGGCGGACGGGUGAGUAACACGUGGAUAACCUACCUAUAAGACUGGGAUAACUUCGUGAAACCGGAGCCAAUACCGGAUAAUAUAUUGAACCGCAUGGUUCAAUAGUGAAAGACGGUUUUGCUGUCACUUAUAGAUGGAUCCGCGCCGCAUUAGCUAGUUGGUAAGGUAACGGCUUACCAAGGCAACGAUGCGUAGCCGACCUGAGAGGGGGAUCGGCCACACUGGAACUGAGACACGGUCCAGGCUCCUACGGGAGGCAGCAGUAGGGAAUCUUCCGCAAUGGGCGAAAGCCUGACGGAGCAACGCCGCGUGGGUGAUGAAGGUCUUCGGAUCGUAAAACUCUGUUAUUAGGGAAGAACAAAUGUGUAAGUAACUAUGCACGUCUUGACGGUACCUAAUCAGAAAGCCACGGCUAACUACGUG